rnacentral:rRNA from 1 species
GGUUAAGCGACUAAGCGUACACGGUGGAUGCCCUGGCAGUCAGAGGCGAUGAAGGACGUGCUAAUCUGCGAUAAGCGUCGGUAAGGUGAUAUGAACCGUUAUAACCGGCGAUUUCCGAAUGGGGAAACCCAGUGUGAUUCGUCACACUAUCAUUAACUGAAUCCAUAGGUUAAUGAGGCGAACCGGGGGAACUGAAACAUCUAAGUACCCCGAGGAAAAGAAAUCAACCGAGAUUCCCCCAGUAGCGGCGAGCGAACGGGGAGCAGCCCAGAGCCUGAAUCAGUGUGUGUGUUAGUGGAAGCGUCUGGAAAGGCGCGCGAUACAGGGUGACAGCCCCGUACACAAAAAUGCACAUGCUGUGAGCUCGAUGAGUAGGGCGGGACACGUGGUAUCCUGUCUGAAUAUGGGGGGACCAUCCUCCAAGGCUAAAUACUCCUGACUGACCGAUAGUGAACCAGUACCGUGAGGGAAAGGCGAAAAGAACCCCGGCGAGGGGAGUGAAAAAGAACCUGAAACCGUGUACGUACAAGCAGUGGGAGCACGCUUAGGCGUGUGACUGCGUACCUUUUGUAUAAUGGGUCAGCGACUUAUAUUCUGUAGCAAGGUUAACCGAAUAGGGGAGCCGAAGGGAAACCGAGUCUUAACUGGGCGUUAAGUUGCAGGGUAUAGACCCGAAACCCGGUGAUCUAGCCAUGGGCAGGUUGAAGGUUGGGUAACACUAACUGGAGGACCGAACCGACUAAUGUUGAAAAAUUAGCGGAUGACUUGUGGCUGGGGGUGAAAGGCCAAUCAAACCGGGAGAUAGCUGGUUCUCCCCGAAAGCUAUUUAGGUAGCGCCUCGUGAAUUCAUCUCCGGGGGUAGAGCACUGUUUCGGCAAGGGGGUCAUCCCGACUUACCAACCCGAUGCAAACUGCGAAUACCGGAGAAUGUUAUCACGGGAGACACACGGCGGGUGCUAACGUCCGUCGUGAAGAGGGAAACAACCCAGACCGCCAGCUAAGGUCCCAAAGUCAUGGUUAAGUGGGAAACGAUGUGGGAAGGCCCAGACAGCCAGGAUGUUGGCUUAGAAGCAGCCAUCAUUUAAAGAAAGCGUAAUAGCUCACUGGUCGAGUCGGCCUGCGCGGAAGAUGUAACGGGGCUAAACCAUGCACCGAAGCUGCGGCAGCGACACUAUGUGUUGUUGGGUAGGGGAGCGUUCUGUAAGCCUGCGAAGGUGUGCUGUGAGGCAUGCUGGAGGUAUCAGAAGUGCGAAUGCUGACAUAAGUAACGAUAAAGCGGGUGAAAAGCCCGCUCGCCGGAAGACCAAGGGUUCCUGUCCAACGUUAAUCGGGGCAGGGUGAGUCGACCCCUAAGGCGAGGCCGAAAGGCGUAGUCGAUGGGAAACAGGUUAAUAUUCCUGUACUUGGUGUUACUGCGAAGGGGGGACGGAGAAGGCUAUGUUGGCCGGGCGACGGUUGUCCCGGUUUAAGCGUGUAGGCUGGUUUUCCAGGCAAAUCCGGAAAAUCAAGGCUGAGGCGUGAUGACGAGGCACUACGGUGCUGAAGCAACAAAUGCCCUGCUUCCAGGAAAAGCCUCUAAGCAUCAGGUAACAUCAAAUCGUACCCCAAACCGACACAGGUGGUCAGGUAGAGAAUACCAAGGCGCUUGAGAGAACUCGGGUGAAGGAACUAGGCAAAAUGGUGCCGUAACUUCGGGAGAAGGCACGCUGAUAUGUAGGUGAAGUCCCUCGCGGAUGGAGCUGAAAUCAGUCGAAGAUACCAGCUGGCUGCAACUGUUUAUUAAAAACACAGCACUGUGCAAACACGAAAGUGGACGUAUACGGUGUGACGCCUGCCCGGUGCCGGAAGGUUAAUUGAUGGGGUCAGCGCAAGCGAAGCUCUUGAUCGAAGCCCCGGUAAACGGCGGCCGUAACUAUAACGGUCCUAAGGUAGCGAAAUUCCUUGUCGGGUAAGUUCCGACCUGCACGAAUGGCGUAAUGAUGGCCAGGCUGUCUCCACCCGAGACUCAGUGAAAUUGAACUCGCUGUGAAGAUGCAGUGUACCCGCGGCAAGACGGAAAGACCCCGUGAACCUUUACUAUAGCUUGACACUGAACAUUGAGCCUUGAUGUGUAGGAUAGGUGGGAGGCUUUGAAGUGUGGACGCCAGUCUGCAUGGAGCCGACCUUGAAAUACCACCCUUUAAUGUUUGAUGUUCUAACGUUGACCCGUGAUCCGGGUUGCGGACAGUGUCUGGUGGGUAGUUUGACUGGGGCGGUCUCCUCCUAAAGAGUAACGGAGGAGCACGAAGGUUGGCUAAUCCUGGUCGGACAUCAGGAGGUUAGUGCAAUGGCAUAAGCCAGCUUGACUGCGAGCGUGACGGCGCGAGCAGGUGCGAAAGCAGGUCAUAGUGAUCCGGUGGUUCUGAAUGGAAGGGCCAUCGCUCAACGGAUAAAAGGUACUCCGGGGAUAACAGGCUGAUACCGCCCAAGAGUUCAUAUCGACGGCGGUGUUUGGCACCUCGAUGUCGGCUCAUCACAUCCUGGGGCUGAAGUAGGUCCCAAGGGUAUGGCUGUUCGCCAUUUAAAGUGGUACGCGAGCUGGGUUUAGAACGUCGUGAGACAGUUCGGUCCCUAUCUGCCGUGGGCGCUGGAGAACUGAGGGGGGCUGCUCCUAGUACGAGAGGACCGGAGUGGACGCAUCACUGGUGUUCGGGUUGUCAUGCCAAUGGCACUGCCCGGUAGCUAAAUGCGGAAGAGAUAAGUGCUGAAAGCAUCUAAGCACGAAACUUGCCCCGAGAUGAGUUCUCCCUGACUCCUUGAGAGUCCUGAAGGAACGUUGAAGACGACGACGUUGAUAGGCCGGGUGUGUAAGCGCAGCGAUGCGUUGAGCUAACCGGUACUAAUGAACCGUGAGGCUUAACCUU